GACGAACGCUGGCGGCGUGCCUAAUACAUGCAAGUAGAACGCACAGUUUAUACCGUAGCUUGCUCCACCAUAGACUGUGAGUUGCGAACGGGUGAGUAACGCGUAGGUAACCUGCCUGGUAGCGGGGGAUAACUAUUGGAAACGAUAGCUAGUACCGCAUAAUAUUAAUUAUUGCAUGAUAAUUAAUUGAAAGGUGCAAUUGCACCACUACCAGAUGGACCUGCGUUGUAUUAGCUAGUAGGUGAGGUAACGGCUCACCUAGGCGACGAUACAUAGCCGACCUGAGAGGGUGAUCGGCCACACUGGGACUGAGACACGGCCCAGACUCCUACGGGAGGCAGCAGUAGGGAAUCUUCGGCAAUGGACGAAAGUCUGACCGAGCAACGCCGCGUGAGUGAAGAAGGUUUUCGGAUCGUAAAGCUCUGUUGUAAGAGAAGAACGGGCGUGAGAGUGGAAAGUUCACACUGUGACGGUAUCUUACCAGAAAGGGACGGCUAACUACGUG
rnacentral:rRNA from 1 species